rnacentral:rRNA from 1 species
GAUGAACGCUGGCGGCGUGCCUAAUACAUGCAAGUCGAGCGAACAGACGAGGAGCUUGCUCCUCUGACGUUAGCGGCGGAAGGGUGAGUAACACGUGGAUAACCUACCUAUAAGACUGGGAUAACUUCGGGAAACCGGAGCUAAUACCGGAUAAUAUAUUGAACCGAAUGGUUCAAUAGUGAAAGACGGUUUUGCUGUCACUUAUAGAUUGAUCCGCGCCGCAUUAGCUAGUUGGUAAGGUAACGGCUUACCAAGGCGACGAUGCGUAGAUGCCCUGAGAGGGUGAACGGCCACACUGAGAGUGAGACACGUCACAGACUCUUACGGGAGGCAGCAGUAGAGAACCUUCCGCAAUGGACGAAAGCCUUACGGAGCAACGCCGGGUGAGUCAUGAUGGACUUCGGAUCGUAGAACUCUGUUAUUAGGGAAGAACAAAUGUGUAAGUAACUAUGCACGUCUUGACGGUACCGAGUCAGAAAGCCACGGCUAACUACGUG